UACGUAGGGUGCAAGCGUUGUCCGGAAUUAUUGGGCGUAAAGAGCUCGUAGGCGGUUUGUCGCGUCGGCUGUGAAAACUCGGGGCUCAACCCCGAGCCUGCAGUCGAUACGGGCAGACUAGAGUGCUGUAGGGGAGACUGGAAUUCCUGGUGUAGCGGUGAAAUGCGCAGAAUAUCAGGAGGAGCACCGGUGGCGAAGGCGGGUCUCUGGGCGAGUGAACUGACGCUGGAGGAGCGAAAGCGUGGGAGCAAACAGGA
rnacentral:rRNA from 1 species